UACGGGGGGAGCAAGCGUUGUUCGGAUUUACUGGGCGUAAAGGGCUCGUAGGCGGUCUGUCGCGUCGGGAGUGAAAACUCAGGGCUUAACCCUGAGCCUGCUUCCGAUACGGGCAGACUAGAGGUAUGCAGGGGAGAACGGAAUUCCUGGUGUAGCGGUGAAAUGCGCAGAUAUCAGGAGGAACACCGGUGGCGAAGGCGGUUCUCUGGGCAUUACCUGACGCUGAGGAGCGAAAGUGUGGGGAGCGAACAGG
rnacentral:rRNA from 1 species